rnacentral:rRNA from 1 species
GGCCUACGGGAGGCAGCAGUGGGGAAUAUUGCACAAUGGGCGAAAGCCUGAUGCAGCAACGCCGCGUGAGGGAAUAAGGCCCUACGGGUCGUAAACCUCUUUUGCCGGGGAGCAAGGGCCGGGACGCGUCCCGGCCCGGCGAGUACCCGGAGAAAAAGCAUCGGCUAACUCCGUGCCAGCAGCCGCGGUAAUACGGAGGAUGCGAGCGUUAUCCGGCUUUAUUGGGUUUAAAGGGUGCGUAGGCGGGCUUUUAAGCCAGCGGUAAAACUUCGGGGCUCAACCCCGUCCGGGCGUUG